GACGAACGCUGGCGGCGUGCUUAACACAUGCAAGUCGAACGGAAAGGCCCUGCUUUUGUGGGGUGCUCGAGUGGCGAACGGGUGAGUAACACGUGAGUAACCUGCCCUUGACUUUGGUAUAACUUCAGGAAACUGGGGCUAAUACCGGAUAGGAGCUCCUGCUGCAUGGUGGGGGUUGGAAAGUUUCGGCGGUUGGGGAUGGACUCGCGGCUUAUCAGCUUGUUGGUGGGGUAGUGGCUUACCAAGGCUUUGACGGGUAGCCGGCCUGAGAGGGUGACCGGCCACAUUGGGACUGAGAUACGGCCCAGACUCCUACGGGAGGCAGCAGUGGGGAAUAUUGCACAAUGGGCGGAAGCCUGAUGCAGCAACGCCGCGUGCGGGAUGACGGCCUUCGGGUUGUAAACCGCUUUCGGCUGUGAAGAAGCGAGAGUGACGGUAAUGGGUAAAGAAGCACCGGCUAACUACGUG
rnacentral:rRNA from 1 species